UACUCAGUUCGGAUUGUAGGCUGCAACUCGCCUACAUGAAGUCGGAAUCGCUAGUAAUCGCGGAUCAGCAUGCCGCGGUGAAUACGUUCCCGGGCCUUGUACACACCGCCCGUCACACCAUGAGAGUUUGUAACACCCAAAGCCGGUGGGGUAACCUUUUGGAGCCAGCCGUCUAAGGUGGGACAGAUGAUUGGGGUGAAGUCGUAACAAGGUAGC
rnacentral:rRNA from 1 species